UGCCAUUCCGGCGGCCUGCCCGCAGUUCGUGCGUUCGUGGUCGUGGCCUCGUCGGCGACCCCGCCCGCCGGGCGGAGGGCCGGCUCAGCUUCUCGCCCGCCGGCGCCCCCCCCCCCCCCCAAGAGGCUGAGGCUCAGCGAGGUAUCCUUCCCUGUUCCCGUCGCCAGUCUACGGAACGGCUCCGCUACCCAUUAUUUUCCUCCCGGCGCGCCGUCGUGUGUCAGGUGGGCAGCCGUGGCUGUGCGCGGCCGCCGCUCAUUCUCGCUCGCCGGCGUCGGAAGCGCCCGUGCUUAUCUCCGUCCUCGCUGCUUCGCGGGCCGAGCAGGGUGAAAGUAGGUCCAAGAAGAGGGCAAUGCACAGACAACUUCCGUGAACAUUACUAAUUUGUUGUUACUAUGUGUUUGAACAAAAAAAAAUCUCACCGCCAGAUUUCUUAAGUAAGUACCUGAAUGCUCUUCAUAUGUCUGUGUUGGGCAAAUAUUCAUUGAUAAAUUGAUAUUGACAUGCAUUGCUGAA